rnacentral:rRNA from 1 species
UACGUGGGGUGCAAGCGUUGUUCGGAAUUACUGGGCGUAAAGCGCGUGUAGGCGGCCUAUUAUGUCAGGUGUGAAAGCCCUCGGCCUAACCGAGGAAGUGCGCCUGAAACUGCUAGGCUUGAGUACGAGAGAGGAGGACGGAAUUCCCAGUGUAGAGGUGAAAUUCGUAGAUAUUGGCUGGAACACCGGUGGCGAAAGCGGCUCUCUGGCCCGGUUCUGACGCUGAGGCGCGAAAGCGUGGGGAGCAAACAGG